ACCACCUCAAUGCCCUGAAGAGUGUCGGCCGGCCGGGUCCAGGCGCUCCUGGAACCCACCCGAGGAUGCGGGCUUCACGGGCUGAGGAGAAGCCGCGAGGCUCCUGGCACCCACGAGUGGCUGCGGGCUUCCGGCACGGCGCGAAAAACCCUGAAGGGGAAGUUAUCCCACUUCCCACUGAGGAGCCCGCGGCGGGACUCGAGGCCCAGACGCAGGCGCGAGGUGGGCCUCUUCCCUCUCCAGGCGGGAAGGAGCCACACGACGGCCGCCUCCGGAGAGCGACGGCCUCGCGUCCCCGCCCCCAACAGGCUGGCUCGGGCUGCUCCCACGAUCUGUGGGCAGGGACCAGGAGCCGACGCUGACAAACGAAGGCGACACCCGCGCAAAGAGGCCUGAAUCACGAGGCCACUUGAGAGCUCUUCUGUGCCUGUCCAGCUACAGCCCCCUAGGCAGUGAGUUUAUUCUGCUUGCUGAGGAUGUCCCAUUGGAGUCAUCGCUAUGGCACCACGUCUUAAAACAGUGCCCCGUCCUUGUGAAUGGGAAGUUCACAACGCCCACUUUCCCAAAUUGAGACCAGUGCCCUCAGGUUGUUGGAGAGAACAGAAAAUGUACAGAAAACCCCAGAAGGAAGGAGCAAAUUUGUUUCAAAAAUCUUAUCCGUGACUUACAAACACGUUCAGAGGAUUUUUUUUUUCCAGCUACAGGCUGAGCUGUCUUACAGGGCAUUAAAAAUGGAAAUCUUUAUUUUUUUUCCUCGAUGUUUUUAAAGAAAUCCUGUUGCUAGGUCAUUAAUCACAUUAUCCAUUCUACCAGAAACAAAUGGAUUUGUCACUUGUGCACAGAAGCUGAGGUUGAUACUGAAAACAAAUUGUAUCAAAAUAAAUGAAAUUAUUAUGAUAAUAUAAAAUACACUGUAGUGAUUAAUCUCUAGAAAACAAAUUCUGACCUGCUUUGCACUUCAAACAAUAGCUUCUGUUAUGUAAAUAGUUGCGCAAGGUUUUCAAGGACAAUAUUACUAAAUUAUAAGAAAAGUUUUAUUCAUGAAAAUCUCUUCAAGGAUAAGAAAUAGAGGCCGGUGACCUGGUCUACACAGUCUAUGUAAAGCAGAGGACAAUGGAAGUAUGAUUCAGAUUCCUCCAGUUCCGUGUGCCCCCAGUUCCAGCAUCCAGAACUUCACUGAGUGCUCCUCUAAAGAGCCUGCAGUCUAGAGGGCACAGUCUGAGAAACUCUGGAAAUAUUUACCACCCUCUCAGAGCUGAUCAAAAAUAGGAGAUCCUGGACAGGAAGUCCUUUCCUGGAAGGCAACUUCAGGAAGCUUAUCAGGAAAAUGGAGAAGUGAGGAACUGGGACUCAACAAUGAACCCAGGAGCAACCAUGAAACUGAAAGUCCACAAGGAACGGAAUUGCCAAGGUAACCACAAGUAAGCAGCCGAGUGAGGAUAAGGACCCAGGCUCUGCCUUCUAGAAGUUUCUGCCCCCAGCCCCACUGCCUUUCCUGGGGGUGGGCAGAGACAGUUUGGCCCCUAGAACCGGAGUUCUACAGAGGAGACCAAGUGCCCUUGGGACCUCAGCACAGAGAGGAUUCAAGCCAAGGUGCCAAGGAGGAAGAUAAUAACUAGAGGACCCAGCUACGGGACAAGCCAACACUCAGAGACUUGGCAUAAGACAGAAGAGAAGCCAAAGGGAGAGAGAGGCUGCUCUGUGCUCUCCGAGUGUCUGCAUCCACUUGCCUUCACAGGGCCAAACUAGCAGCCUGAGCUACCCACACCUCCCGUUGUUCAGCUUUUGUGGCCACAUGAACAUAUAUGACUGACAGGAAGAGAGCUAGGUAUUUGGUCUCAGGCCCUGGUUCCUGGCACAGAGUUUCCAAAACGCUUGUGAUUUCCUGAGCAAUAAAAGUGCUAAGAGUAUGUUCUAUUUCUGGUUGGUCUCUGACCCCAGUUCCUGACC